AUGGUUCCAGUUUCGCCUGUCCUGGCUCCCCGACCUCCUUUGUGUGUGGGGGGCUGGCGUCAGCCUCGUAGGCUGUGGACAGGCACAAGCCCUUCUUUCCUGGGAGCGGCGCCUUUCCUCACAGAGCCUGCUACUGUUGCUGCCGGAGAACGAGAAGCUGCAUGGCUGCUCGAACUGAGGGGGAAGCUGCAGCACACUCUCUUUCCUCCUAGGACCCCAUCCCCGUGUGCACCUCCCUCCUUGGAGACACUUCCGACACCGCUCCCACCGGCCUCGCCCAGCGCCUCGCCAGGAAGACCAACAAGCAGGUGUUCGUUAGCUACAACCUUCAGAACACAGACAGUGACUUUGCCCUGCUCGUGGAAAACAGGAUCAAGGAGGAAAUGGAGGCUUUUCCGGAGAAGUUCUGAGUGGCAGAAGGGAGGAUUUCUAACCGGACAUUUAAAUAAAAGAGUUUUGAUUUGGUCAUCAGGCUGUGUUCCCAUUUUAUUUUUGCCAGGUUAAGCUCUCAGCAGAGUGGGCUGGAAAGGCUCAUAUUGAGGGGCCUGGAAGGAGGAAAACAUGGGGAUAGGAAAGGCUUUCUUGUUGACCACUCAGUGACGUGGAAAAGGGGUGGAAAUGGAUGUAUUGGGAUUGAUGGGUAGAAUCCAACAACCCCAAAUUUAAGUCAG
rnacentral:lncRNA from 1 species